rnacentral:lncRNA from 1 species
GUCCCGCCCUGGAGUCAGGCUGAAGGGGCUGCUCGAAACUGUGUCGCCGUCGCCUUGUCCGCGCCGUGCAACACUGUACUGCAAGUCAAUUCAAUACAGUGAUUUAAGUCGCUUCGACUCCAAUGGAGAAAGUGUGAGAAAUUAGCUAAGAUUGGAGAGUGGGUCUCAUGGGGUUGUAUUCAAAUGCAGAAACAAAACCUCUGGACAAGUGUAGCUAUUAAAAAAUUGUGGAAUCCGAAGAUGAUCCUGUGGUUAAGAAAAUAGCUCUAAGAGAAAUACGCAUGUUGAAGAGUUGCUGAUGGAAUGAUCAAAAGUGUGUUAUGACAAACACUUCAAGCUCUUAACUUCUGUCAUAGACAUAACUGUAUUCACAGAGGUGUAAAACCUGAAAAUAUUCUAAUAACUAAGCAAGGAAUAAUCAAGAUCUGUGACUUUGGGUUUGCACGAAUUCUGAGAAACUCUUGAAGAAAAGUUCUCAUAUGUGCAUCCUGUGGCUUUGAAUUUCAUGAAGGAGUGUCUGAGGAUGAAUCCAGAUGACAGGUUAACUUGUGCCCAACUCCUGGAGAGCCCCUACUUUGAUUCUUUUCAAGAGGACCAAAUUAAAAGAAAAGCAUGUAAUGAAGGAAGAAACAGAAGAUGUCAGCAGGUACCUCCAUUCAAAAGUUAAAGUGCUGUAAAAAUGAUUCUUUAUUUUCCUUCUCUACCUUUCAAAGUGAGACUAGGCGGGCACCAAGAUCUUCUCUUUGCACUGGUUUAGUUGUAUUUGCUUGUCUAAUAAAUAUUGGUGAUUGAUGUCAUAAAACCAUAAAACUAUGAAAAUAUACAGAUUGUCACAAAAUCUUAUUCCAAAUACACUUAAGUUAUUGCACAAUUCUUUUCUUACACUGAUUCGAUAUCCCCCCUGCCAGGUCAUGUACCCAAAACACAACAGUUUCAAACAAGUAAGCCCCAAUUACAGCAGAACUGAAUUUGACCAGCAUUAUGGAAGAAUCCCGGUACCUUCUGUAGCCUCCAGAUGCCCAGUAAAGGAAACUUGACUCUUCUGUCUUUUCAUCCGUGGCAGGCACCUUAGUCUGCCUUUCCUAGGCUUUUCCUGGUAGCCAAGGACAAGCUCUGGACAGAUACAAAGAGCUGAAACUCAGAUAUCUGAGAACCAAAUCCUGUCCUAAAAUGUUCCAAUAUUGUAGAAUAAUACAGUGAAUAUAAAGACGAACACUGAUUCUGUAGCUUAUUAGGCAACUACCAUUUACUUGCAAAACUCUGAAGUUAAAACAUAAACUCCAUGAAAGUAGGUUUCUUUGAGGUUGGAUUUUUUUUCUCCUCACCUGUAUCCCCAGCACCUAAAACAAUAUCUGUUACAUCAAAGGUACUUAAUAAAUAUUAUCCAAAUAAAUAAGUAGGUGAACAUUGCUUAUUAAUAAGCCAAGAUGGUAAUUUUCCAUUUUUCAGAAACUGACAAUUGUCGCAUUUUGCGUUUGCUUAAUCCUCCACAUCUGAUCUACUUUUUUGUUCAUUUAUCUUCUCAUUAGCAUCUUUACCAUAAAGGAAGAAAGUGGUCUCUUUCAAUAGUUAAAAUAGAAGUUUGUUGGGAGAGAAAGAUGUAUCCAAAAUCUUUAUCC